GAUGCUAUUUAUCAAUAGGCCUGGGAC
rnacentral:piRNA from 1 species